AUUCCGGUGCACUUAGGCUCAACCCGGCCCAUCUCUGGCUCAGCCCCGCGCAUCUCUGCACAGCCUCCUCGCAUCUCUGCAAGCCCCCCUCGCACCCUCCUCCCAGCAGUCAAGGUAAGCGGCACCCUAGUCCUGCGCACGGGUUUGGGGUACUCAGGCUGCCACACUGCGUGUCCUAUGGGGGUGGGGGAGACAACAGUUGUGGCACAGGUCCACGCACCGGCCACGUGAACACGCCCCCCCCCCCUUCCCCUGGCAGCCAGGAAGCUUCAGGUCCCCUGGGCACCUCUUGUGCUCUUGACCUGUGGCUCCCUCUUCUCCCCACUGCGUUUUGUUUUAACAGAUUUUCUGCUUAAGAAAUGUUACCAGGUCUCAGGGACCCCACAUUAAAUUGAGCUAAUCUUGAAACAAAACAUCCCCUGAGGCAUUUUAGGGCACCUCACAUUAAGUGGUAGUCUGAGGAGACUCAUUUGAGAGUCAGAGGACACAUAGCUCAAAGUGUUUCCCUUCAUUUAAAACUUUAACUGCAGUUCUGCUUUUUGAAGCCUGUCUUUCCCUCUCAGUCUCCUUUUCUUUGUAAAAAAUGUGGUAAGGAUAAGUUUGAAUACCAGACAAGGGUUUCCUAAUUUAGUUUGGAGUGAAGAUUCAGAAAAUGCUUUAUAUAUUGAAAGACAAGAAUGCUCUUGUAUACCACCACCACCACCACCACCACUGCCACCACCACCGCUAGAACCCCCAGUACAGGCCCCUCGCUCGGACUUUAUCACGUGUACCUCUUCAUUCCCCUUGGCGAUGUAUUUCUCAGCUUUCAUACCAAGGUGCAGAGUGACAUGUGCUCUCCUAGAGCGUCUCAGCAUCUCUGUUCAAAGAGUAGUUUUGUGAUGGGAACGCCGAGUAAAGGGGAAAACUGAGCAGACAAGAGGCUGUGGGUUUAUCCUCCAUACCGGCAGUGAUAUGGUGUGAACAAAAGCAAGUGCGCCAAUCUGGGACUCCAAACUGAAACUUCAGAAAAGAAACUUUGGCUUUCAUACUAAACCGAGGGUUUUGCCUUCUGGGCCUCCCUAAAAUGGGAGCACGUGGGCCUGAAGAGGAAUGCUGGCUAGCAAGAUAGCAGAAGAUAAGAAAAAGAGUCGCUUGUACCCAAUGUCCUUCCAGGUGGUGUCUCCUGUCUGAUCAGUGAACUCAGAGUCUAGCAAAUGUAAUGUCAUCUUCAAACUAUUAGCACUUAACUUGUAAAUUCUUAUAAAUAUUUGUGACCUUUCUGGUACUUGGUAGAGAUUCCAGUUGUUGCUCUACAUCUUUAGGAUACUAGCACACAGAGAUGAACUUAAUUACAUUAUUUUAACCACACUGGAACUCGGGGAUAAAUGAGAUUAUACCACAUAAGAAUGGAGACACUAACAGUGCUCAGAAGGAAUCCGGUGAAUCACAUGCUGCUUCAAUCUUGUAUUCAAUUCCAGAGGGAAAAGGAGAAUGUGCCAACAGACUUUGUUAUAAGCUGAAAUAUAAACACUUUUGAUGAGUUUUGUUUCUGAGACAUUCCUCUUAAAAAGCAACGUAAUUUCUGGUCCUUAUGUAAGUUGCCAACAUUCCAUUGUAUUGCAUUUCAACAAUCCUGAGUUACUAGUUUUUGAGAAAUGCAACUUUGAAAUGUGUAAUUAAUUAUACAUACUCACUGGGCUCUGCAGCAUCCACUACAUUUUCUUGGAAAUUUUAUAUUCUGAGAGUGUAUAGUUCUCCACUAUAGUUUCAUUGUAUGUCACAGAUUUUUAAAAAGCUCUAGAUAUUUUCAUAUUAUAUAGUAAGCAAUUUAUGGACUUCAUUGCCAUGAAUGUGUGAGUUGUGCUACUUUGAAUUCUCAAAUGGCAUUGUUGCUUUUUAUUUCUAUUUAUUUCUAGUCAUUUUCUAUUUCAUUUUACCUAUUUUGAUAAGUAAGCCUUUUAACAAAUCUACAAUUCUUUAGAAUAAAUUCAAUUCGUGCUUUGUAGUCUAUGAAACUAUAACCUUUACAACAUUAUUGAACAUCAUAAGUGAUCUUAGGUACUUUCAAAAUGGAAUAAUCUAAAAUAAAUAAGACAAGCAUGGACAUUAUGCACAUAAUUGGAAUGUUAUGCAAUGUUUUGGAUAAUUAUGUAUGUGAGAAAAAUUGUAUAUUGCAGCUAAGUAUCUGGAUGCCUUUUCUGCCCCUUGGAGAUGCUAAAUAAAUUCUAUGUUGUAGGUCUGUGUCUGAACUCUGACAUGUGGCAUGAGGUUAGAUUAAGCCUCAAGACUGAAUAUUUUUUAAUUAACAUGAUUGAUCCUUUCAAUAUGAAAUUUGUGUUUUAUAUCAAUUAUCUGGUCCCAAAUGAUAAGUAUCUUAAAAGUUCAAAUAUUAUAUGAAUUCACUAUAAAUGAAUUAUAUUGUAUGUACAUUGUAAAUAUACAUUAAGGGUAUUUGGCAAGG
rnacentral:lncRNA from 1 species